GACUGAGGAUAAUGCUGAAUAGAAAAUACGUGCUGGAAUGCUGUAUUUUUCAAAGGUAACGCUUAAGGAUGAGCUGGCGGCCGAUUAGGUUGUUGGUGGUGUAAUGGACCACCAAGCCUAUGAUCGGUACGGGCCCUGGGAGGGGGAGCCCGGAGAAGGGUACUGCGAUACGGACCCUAGCCCUACGGGGUGCAGCAGGCGCGAAACCUUUACAAUGCACGAAAGUGUGAUAAGGUAAUUCAGAGUGCUCACGCAUUUUGUGUGGGCUUUUGUCAAAUGUAAAUUAUUUGACGAAUAAGGGGUGGGUAAGACUGGUGCCAGCCGCCGCGGUAACACCAGCGCCCCGAGUGGGAAUCGUCUUUACUGGGCCUAAAGCGUUCGUAGUCGGUUGAAAAAAUCUUUUGUGAAAUCGUUUCUGUUAACGAAACGUCGUGCAGGAGACACUAUUCAACUAGAGACCAGGAGGCGUCAAGAGUAUUCGAUGGGGAGCGGUAAAAUGUGAAAAUCCAUCGAAGACUGCCGGUGGCGAAGGCGCUUGACGAGAAUGGGUCUGACGAUGAGGAACGAAAGCUAGGGGAGCAAAAGGGAUUAGAUACCCCAGUAGUCCUAGCCGUAAACUCUGUGAGUCAGGGGUUGCAUAUUCUACGGGGAUAUGCAGUUUCGUAGCGAAGGCGUUAAACUCACCGCCUGGGGAGUACGGUCGCAAGGCUGAAACUUAAAGGAAUUGGCGGGGGAGCACCACAAGGGGUGCGGCGUGCGGUUUAUG
rnacentral:rRNA from 1 species